rnacentral:rRNA from 1 species
UACGUAGGUGGCGAGCGUUAUCCGGAAUUACUGGGCGUAAAGCGCACGCAGGCGGCCGGUCAAGUCUGACGUGAAAGCUCCUGGCUUAACUGGGAGAGGUCGUUGGAAACUGGCGGGCUUGAGGCAAUGAGAGGGGUGUAGAAUUCCCGGUGUAGUGGUGGAAUGCGUAGAUAUCGGGAGGAAUACCAGUGGCGAAGGCGGCACCCUGGCAUUGACCUGACGCUGAGGUGCGAAAGCGUGGGGAGCGAACGGGAUUAGAUACCCGGGUAGUCCCU